UACGUUGGGUCUGGGCACUACCGUUUUUAUUUUCAUGAACAAUGCUCCAAGCAUUGCUCGACUUUUCUCUUUUCUGACAGUUUCUUCAGGAGUCAGGCUUUCUUAGAUACACUUACAAAACGACAAUGAGCCAUGGUUGAUGAUAAAACCAGACAGGACGACAAGAAGUAGUCACAAGAAAGAGUGCUCUGUCAAGCAAAGAAGCAGCUAUUAUAUUAUUAUCAUUUAUAAAAUAAAAUCAUUUAAUUAUAGACCUGCUAGUACCAAGAUCAAAAUGCAUGACGCUUGAAUCUUUUAUAAAAUAAAAAAUAUAUAAUAUAUAAUACAA